rnacentral:rRNA from 1 species
UCGGAGUGCUUGCACUCUGUGAAACAAGAUACAGGCUAGCGGCGGACGGGUGAGUAACACGUGGGUAACCUGCCCAAGAGAUCGGGAUAACACCUGGAAACAGAUGCUAAUACCGGAUAACAACAGAUGAUGCCUAUCAACUGUUUAAAAGAUGGUUCUGCUAUCACUCUUGGAUGGACCUGCGGUGCAUUAGCUAGUUGGUAGGGUAACGGCCUACCAAGGCGAUGAUGCAUAGCCGAGUUGAGAGACUGAUCGGCCACAUUGGGACUGAGACACGGCCCAAACUCCUACGGGAGGCAGCAGUAGGGAAUCUUCCACAAUGGACGCAAGUCUGAUGGAGCAACGCCGCGUGAGUGAAGAAGGGUUUCGGCUCGUAAAGCUCUGUUGUUGGUGAAGAAGGGCAGGGGUAGUAACUGACCUUUGUUUGACGGUAAUCAAUUAGAAAGUCACGGCUAACUACGUGCCAGCAGCCGCGGUAAUACGUAGGUGGCAAGCGUUGUCCGGAUUUAUUGGGCGUAAAGCGAGUGCAGGCGGCUCGAUAAGUCUGAUGUGAAAGCCUUCGGCUCAACCGGAGAAUUGCAUCAGAAACUGUCGAGCUUGAGUACAGAAGAGGAGAGUGGAACUCCAUGUGUAGCGGUGAAAUGCGUAGAUAUAUGGAAGAACACCGGUGGCGAAGGCGGCUCUCUGGUCUGUUACUGACGCUGAGGCUCGAAAGCAUGGGUAGCGAACAGGAUUAGAUACCCUGGUAGUCCAUGCCGUAAACGGUGAGUGCUAAGUGUUGGGAGGUUUCCGCCUCUCAGUGCUGCAGCU